rnacentral:rRNA from 1 species
GACGAACGCUGGCGGCGCGCUUAACACAUGCAAGUCGAACGGAAAGGCCUGCUUUCCCUUGUGGAUUGCGGGUACUCGAGUGGCGAACGGGUGAGUAACACGUGAGUGAUCUGCCCCCAACUUGGGUAUAAGCCUGGGAAACUGGGUCUAAUUCCCGAUAGGACUGCAGGGUGGUGCCUGUGGUGGAAAACGAUUUUCUAGUGGUUGGGGAUGAGCUCGCGGCCUAUCAGCUUGUUGGUGGGGUAAUGGCCUGCCAAGGCGGCGACGGGUAGCCAGCCUGGGAUGGUGGACGGGGACAUUGAGACUGAGUUACGACCCAGACGCCUAGGGGAGGCAGCAGUGGGGAAGAGUGGAAGCUGGGCGGAAGCCUGAUGCAGCGACGCCGCGUGGGGGAUGACGGGCUUCGGGUUGUAAACUCCUUUCGACCGAGAGGAAGCCACCUGGUUGGAAGGGUGGUGACGGUAGUGGUAGAAGAAGCACCGGCUAACUACGUG